rnacentral:rRNA from 1 species
UGGGGAAUAUUGCACAAUGGGCGCAAGCCUGAUGCAGCCAUGCCGAGUGUAUGAAGAAGGCCUUCGGGUUGUAAAGUACUUUCAGUCGGGAGGAAGGUGGUAAGGUUAAUAACCUUAUCAAUUGACGUUACCGACAGAAGAAGCACCGGCUAACUCCGUGCCAGCAGCCGCGGUAAUACGGAGGGUGCAAGCGUUAAUCGGAAUUACUGGGCGUAAAGCGCACGCAGGCGGUUUGUUAAGUCAGAUGUGAAAUCCCCGGGCUCAACCUGGGAACUGCAUCUGAUACUGGCAAGCUUGAGUCUCGUAGAGGGGGGUAGAAUUCCAGGUGUAGCGGUGAAAUGCGUAGAGAUCUGGAGGAAUACCGGUGGCGAAGGCGGCCCCCUGGACGAAGACUGACGCUCAGGUGCGAAAGCGUGGGGAGCAAACAGG